UUAGGUUGGUGCAAAAGUAGUUGUGGCUUUUGCCAUUGAAAGUAAUGGCAAAAACUGCAAUUACUUUUGUACCAACCUAGAUA
rnacentral:miRNA from 1 species